rnacentral:rRNA from 2 species
AGCCGACCUGGAGAGAGGGUAAUCGGCCACCAUUGGGACUGAGACACGUCCCAAACUCCUACGGGAGGCAGCAGUAGGGAAUCUUCCACCAUGGACGAAAGUCUGAUGAAGCAACGCCCGCCUGAGUGAAGAAGGGUUUCGGCUCGUAAAACUCUGUUGUUAAAGAAGAACAUAUCUGAGAGUAACUGUUCAGGUAUUGACGGUAUUUAACCAGAAAGCCACGGCUAACUACGUGCCAGCAGCCGCGGUAAUACGUAGGUGGCAAGCGUUGUCCGGAUUUAUUGGGCGUAAAGCGAGCGCAGGCGGUUUUUUAAGUCUGAUGUGAAAGCCUUCGGCUCAACCGAAGAAGUGCAUCGGAAACUGGGAAACUUGAGUGCAGAAGAGGACAGUGGAACUCCAUGUGUAGCGGUGAAAUGCGUAGAUAUAUGGAAGAACACCAGUGGCGAAGGCGGCUGUCUGGUCUGUAACUGACGCUGAGGCUCGAAAGUAUGGGUAGCAAACAGGAUUAGAUACCCUGGUAGUCCAUACCGUAAACGAUGAAUGCUAAGUGUUGGAGGGUUUCCGCCCUUCAGUGCUGCAGCUAACGCAUUAAGCAUUCCGCCUGGGGAGUACGGCCGCAAGGCUGAAACUCAAAGGAAUUGACGGGGGCCCGCACAAGCGGUGGAGCAUGUGGUUUAAUUCGAAGCUACGCGAAGAACCUUACCAGGUCUUGACAUACUAUGCAAAUCUAAGAGAUUAGACGUUCCCUUCGGGGACAUGGAUACAGGUGGUGCAUGGUUGUCGUCAGCUCGUGUCGUGAGAUGUUGGGUUAAGUCCCGCAACGAGCGCAACCCUUAUUAUCAGUUGCCAGCAUUAAGUUGGGCACCUCUGGUGAGAACUGCCGGUGACAAACCGGAGGAAGGUGGGGAUGACGUCAAAUCAUCAUGCCCCUUAUGACCUGGGCUACACACGUGCUACAAUGGAUUGGUACAACGAGUGUGCG